rnacentral:lncRNA from 1 species
GGGAAAGAACAUCCCCGGGGUCUGAUCUUAGGCCAGAAUUGGAACUGGAACUUUGAAAACAAAGCUUUUUUUUCCCCCUGAAAUGGGCUGCAGGAGGCUGCCUGCCCCAUGGCUGGAGGCAGCUAUGACCAUGGAAGGCUAGCAUGAUUUCAGAGUGGUGGUGUCUUCAGGCUUCCUUUUCGGUAUGUGUCCUGAUUUAACUUUACACCUUGGCCAUGCUGGUGCUCCUUGGCUUUUUGAGCAGCCAGCCCUCCAUGCUCCUGAUAUUUCCUGGUAAGCUUUCCAAGGUGGCAGAUGGGGAGAAGUGCUGCAACCGAGAUGACUUUCCUCCCUUGUCAUCCUGUGGAGAGGGGGCAUCCUGCCCUGAGGAGCAGCUUCUCGCCAUGGACUGAGCCCAUGACCUACCUGCAUGUGGCGUGGUACCUCCUCCACUGGGGCUACCAACCACCCAGGGGUGUGCGACCAGCAGCGUGGGCACCAAGCUAAGAGAGAAAAGCCCCAGGGAAGGAGGAUUUCUGCAAGAAUGCAGGCUGUUCCCUGCCCAUCUCGUGCAUCCUGCUGUGCACCCCAGUGAGAGCCCCACUUAGGAGGAACAGUGCUAAGAUCCAGUGCUGGAUCUCUUGUUCCCACCAGUGUCCAUCAACCAACUGGGCUGCUGCUGGGGAGGCACAGCUCCACCUUCUUUGCUCCUGAGCACCUUCUGCUGCUGGCUCUGCUUCUCUACCUGCUGUUUGUAGUGAGGACUCAUCACAGAGCAUCGCUGAGAGACGAGACGUGCUGCUGCUGCUGCUCUCCCCCUUGCUGUUUUGGAGCGUGGAGUCUGGUUGGCCAGGUCCAAGAAGGGCUGGGAAGAUGGACUGUACUGUUUGAAAGCUGCCCAGACCUCAUCUGCUCCCUUGAAACCAAUAUGAGGCAAGACCAGCGAUUGCAGCCAGUUGCAACAUCUCGUCUUGCUGGAUGGAGGCACAUCGUGUCACCAGUGGUGCUGCUGGUGAAACCUCCGUGAAGGAAGGAAACCCGCUGAGACCUGGCUGCCUGGGGGCUGUUAACCCAUCGGAGGUGAGCUAAAGACCCAAUUUCACUCUGUUUCUUUGAAGAGGGAGCUGGACACACCAAAGCCAAGGUUCAGUGAACUGAAGCUUCCAUAAAUCUACAUCAGAGUGUGAGAGAAUUAGGGCCAAUGGGUUGGGUCCACUGAAAACUAAGUCAAACUUUGACCCCAAACCAGCCAAGCUUUCUGAUUUUUAACAUCUCUUGAGGAUUCAGUUAAACCAGGAUGUCAGAGGCAGUGAUGUCACAGGAACCCAGCGCUGAUACAUGUCUCACCUAGAAUCAUAGAAUUGUCCAGGCCGGAAGGGACCUCCAAAGGUCAUCUAGUCUGACCUCCCCGCAGUCAGCAGGGACACCUCCAACUAGACCAGGUUGCCCGGGGCCUCAUCGAGCCUCACCUAAAUCCUGCAAGAGCAAAUCCUCAUAUAAAAUGGUCAGACCACAGCUUUGAUGAAACUAAGAGCACAGAUACUGUAACCUGUGUAUCACUGAGCAUCUUUAUAAUCAUAAUUCUCAGAUGAUUUUAGACUGCUUUCAGGUCCAACCAAACAGUGACUAAAGCAGUGUACUUGGUACCAAAGUUCAGUAAAUUAUUUGUAUUCGUGUGGCUUGUGAGGUUCUUGGAAGCUUUCUCAAAGGGCAAACUCUGUUUUGUUUGGGAGGGGAAAAAGGCAAACCAUGGUCGCCU